CCGGAGCUUGCUCCACCGGGAAAAGAGGAGUGGCGAACGGGUGAGUAACACGUGGGUAACCUGCCCAUCAGAAGGGGAUAACACUUGGAAACAGGUGCUAAUACCGUAUAACAAUCGAAACCGCAUGGUUUCGUUUUGAAAGGCGCUUUACGGUGCCGCUGAUGGAUGGACCCGCGGUGCAUUAGCUAGUUGGUGAGGUAACGGCUCACCAAGGCCACGAUGCAUAGCCGACCUGAGAGGGUGAUCGGCCACAUUG
rnacentral:rRNA from 1 species